CCCUUAGAUGUUCUGGGCCGCACGCGCGCUACACUGAUGCAUUCAACGAGUAAUCUUUGACCUUGGUCGACAGAUCUGGGUAAUCUUUUGAAAUUGCAUCGUGAUGGGGCUUGCGGGUUGCAAUUACCCGCACCAACGAGGAAUUCCUAGUAAACGCAAGUCAUCAACUUGCAUUGAUUACGUCCCUGCCCUUUGUACACACCGCCCGUCGCACCUACCGAUUGAAUGGUCCGGUGAAGCCUCGGGAUUGUGGCCAGUUCACUUUAUUGGGAGUUGGCUGUGAGAACUUGUCUAAACCUUAUCAUUUAGAGGAAGGUGAAGUCGUAACA
rnacentral:rRNA from 1 species